CGCCUUCCUCUGGAGAGCCCCCGGCCGCCUGCGGCGACUCCCUCCCCCGCCCCCGCCUUUUCGCUCAGGCCCAGGCUGUCGCCGACAACGGUCCCUAGGAAAAGACCGAGCGCGCCGGGAUGACGGAUUCCAGAAUGUCUCCAGACUGAGAACUAAGCCGCGGCCCCAUGCCUGCCCAGGAGGUGAAAGAUACAGUUCAAGGACAUUGGGCUUGAAGAAUAUUUGAAGCUUUCAACUGAACUUCUUUGUGGGAUGCAGGGGAUGCAAGAGGAAUCAAUUCCUCCCUAAAGCCACUGGAAGAAGCACUGCUCUUUACCAUUUGCUGACACAAAGCUGUGCUGCCUGCCACUGUACGACUUCAAGGGAAAGAAUCCUGCUGCAUCUGGACAACUGGGGAAAAAUAUCUAUCAAACACUUCAAGUAUGGUGUGAGAAUUGCUUGCAAACCAUCAGACCACUAUGAAGUUAAAAAAGAAAAUCAUUAAACGGAACUACUUCACAGGUCUGUCCCUAGGCAUAACGAACCUAUGUACCAAGUAACAGAGACAGAACAGGAUGCCUCCUGGUGGUACUUGGAGAACCUCACGUGGUGCCACAGAUCGAACUGGAGGACAACCAACUGUACAUCUCUGGCCCCAGAGGAAAAAACUUUUAAAUAAAAAGUAAUGCUAAUUUACUACAAAAUUAGUAGAUGUGCCUAUGUACUUUGCAAUGGUGUAAGAGGACUGCAACACUUAAACAAUGACAUUGCCUGGUAUGUAGCUUGAUUUUAAAACUGUCACCAUGACAGAGCUGUCUCCUAUCUAAUAUUCACUUUGACUCCUUACUAAUAAAACUUUUCUCUAUAAAAGAAAAUGUGUCUAGACUUUGAUCGAGAGGUCUUCUAAUCCAUUUUGGCACCCAGAGCGGCUUCUUGCAGAAAUGCAUCUAGACUGUGAACUGAGUUACAACCUCGUGCCACCUGGGGAGGGAUUUUCCCUCUCUGCCCUGUUUUUCUGAGCGGAAAAUGGUGGCGGCGGCAGCAUCCACGUGGCGAGAGCCACCCUCUUAAACCCCCAACCCAGAGGUAGGACUUUUUAGUGAAGUAGCCUGUAGGUGGUCCUGGGGGGGGGGGGCAUUACCAGCACACUUCCGCCCAGAUAUGAUCCGGAACUGCUACGCGAGAAACAGACCCUCUGCUUCUAAAGACUUUGAUCGAGAGGUCUUCUAACCCAUUUGGCAUGCAGAGCGGCUUCUUGCAGAAAUGCCUCUAGACUGUGAACUGAGCUAAAAUAUCAAAUCCCAAAACCGCACAGCCACGACAGCAAUGAAGAGGAAUUAUUAAAUGAUGCCUUUUCAGCAGGCCUGUUUGUUGGGGGAAAAUUCCAAACAAUAAUAGUGAGUUCUCUAUUGAAAUAUUGAAUAUAUUCAAAGUGUAGAGAGAAUAAA